AGGUGAUGGGUUUUAAUGAGUGUAGGGUUAGUUGGUAGGAUAGUGAGGUGAUGGGUUUUAAUGAGUGUAGGGUUAGUUGGUAGGAUAAUGAGGUGAUGGGUUAGUUGGUAGGAUAGUGAGGUGAUGGGUUUUAAUGAGUGUAGGGUUAGUUGGUAGGAUAAUGAGGUGGUGGUUAAUGAGUGUAGGGUUAGUUGAUAGGAUAAUGAGGUGAUGGGUUUUAAUGAGUGUAGGGUUAGUUGGUAGGAUAAUGAGGUGAUGGGUUAGUUGGUAGGAUAGUGAGGUGAUGGGUUUUAAUGAGUGUAGGGUUAGUUGAUAGGAUAAUGAGGUGAUGGGUUUUAAUGAGUGUAGGGUUAGUUGGUAGGAUAAUGAGGUGAUGGGUUUUAAUGAGUGUAGGGUUAGUUGGUAGGAUAAUGAGGUGAUGGGUUUUAAUGAGUGUAGGGUUAGUUGGUAGGAUAAUGAGGUGGUGGUUAAUGAGUGUAGGGUUAGUUGGUAGGAUAAUGAGGUGAUGGGUUAGUUGAUAGGAUAAUGAGGUGGUGGGUUUUAAUGAGUGUAGGGUUAGUUGGUAGGAUAAUGAGGUGAUGGGUUUUAAUGAGUGUAGGGUUAGUUGAUAGGAUAAUGAGGUGAUGGGUUUUAAUGAGUGUAGGGUUAGUUGGUAGGAUAAUGAGGUGAUGGGUUUUAAUGAGUGUAGGGUUAGUUGGUAGGAUAAUGAGGUGAUGGGUUUUAAUGAGUGUAGGGUUAGUUGGUAGGAUAAUGAGGUGGUGGUUAAUGAGUGUAGGGUUAGUUGGUAGGAUAAUGAGGUGGUGGGUUAGUUGGUAGGAUAAUGAGGUGGGGGUUAAUGAGUGUAGGGUUAGUUGGUAGGAUAAUGAGGUGGUGGUUAAUGAGUGUAGGGUUAGUUGGUAGGAUAAUGAGGUGAUGGGUUUUAAUGAGUGUAGGGUUAGUUGGUAGGAUAAUGAGGUGAUGGGUUAGUUGAUAGGAUAAUGAGGUGAUGGGUUUUAAUGAGUGUAGGGUUAGUUGGUAGGAUAAUGAGGUGAUGGGUUUUAAUGAGUGUAGGGUUAGUUGGUAGGAUAAUGAGGUGAUGGGUUUUAAUGAGUGUAGGGUUAGUUGGUAGGAUAAUGAGGUGGUGGUUAAUGAGUGU